rnacentral:rRNA from 1 species
UACGUAGGGUGCGAGCGUUGUCCGGAAUUAUUGGGCGUAAAGAGCUUGUAGGUGGCUCGUUGCGUCGGGAGUGAAAACCUGCGGCUUAACCGCAGGCCUGCUUCCGAUACGGGCGAGCUAGAGUUCGGCAGGGGAGACUGGAAUUCCUGGUGUAGCGGUGAAAUGCGCAGAUAUCGGGAAGAACACCCGUGGCGAAGGCGGCUCUCUGGGACGGUACUGAUGCUGAGACGCGAAAGCGUGGGGAGCGAACAGG